rnacentral:rRNA from 1 species
GCCAGCAGCCAUAUCACCCUGCAACUCACUAAAGCCAAGCAGGUGUGAGCCUGGUCAGUACCUGGAUGGGAGACCUCCUGGGAAAAACUAAGGUUGCUGCUGGAA